rnacentral:pre_miRNA from 1 species
GGAAUAUAAUAACCCGUCUCUUAACUUUUAACUAAAAAUGUUAAGAACCGACUCUUAAAACUCUUAUUUAAGAACCGGUUCUUACCUUUUUUAGUUAAAAGUUAAGAGACGGAUUCUUAUAUUCC